rnacentral:tRNA from 1 species
GCGCUCAUAGCUCAGCUGGAUAGAGCACUUGGCUACGAACUAAGGGGUCGGGAGUUCGACUCUCUCUGAGCGCACCA